rnacentral:rRNA from 1 species
CGCCUCCUGCCCAUAUAAAAAUAUAGGAGGUCCCGCCUGCCCUGUGACCAAAAGUUUAACGGCCGCGGUAUUUUAACCGUGCAAAGGUAGCGCAAUCAAUUGUCUUUUAAAUGGAGACCUGUAUGAAUGGCAUAACGAGGGUUUAACUGUCUCUUUUUUCUGGUCAAUGAAACUGAUCUACCCGUGCAGAAGCGGGUAUACCCACACAAGACGAGAAGACCCUAUGGAGCUUUAGACGCCCACCAACCGUGAAGAGCAGCCUGCCUAACAGGCCCCCAAACUACAUGGCCCUGGUAUAAACGUCUUCGGUUGGGGCGACCACGGGGGAAAGCAAAGCCCCCGAGAGGAUUGGGGGAAACCCUAAAACCAAGAGCCACAGCUCUAAGUCACAAAAUAUUUGACCGACAAUGAUCCGGCUUUUGCCGAUCAACGGACCAAGUUACCCUAGGGAUAACAGCGCAAUCCCCUCCCAGAGUCCAUAUCGACGAGGGGGUUUACGACCUCGAUGUUGGAUCAGGACAUCCUAAUGGUGCAGCCGCUAUUAAGGGUUCGUUUGUUCAACGAUUAAAGUCCU